AUACGGGGGGUGCAAGCGUUAAUCGGAAUUACUGGGCGUAAAGCGCGCGUAGGCGGUUUGCUCAGUCGGAUGUGAAAGCCCAGGGCUCAACCUUGGAACUGCAUACGAUACUGGCAAACUAGAGCGUGAGAGAGGAUAGAGGAAUUUCCGGUGUAGCGGUGAAAUGCGUAGAUAUCGGAAGGAACAUCAGUGGCGAAGGCGACUGUCUGGCUCAACACUGACGCUGAGGUGCGAAAACGUGGGUAGCAAACAGGAUUAGAUACCCUAGUAGUCC
rnacentral:rRNA from 1 species